UGAUCCAGGACCAUUGUCAUCAUUUCAAUACGGGGUAGAUUCGCUAAUGUUGAUCCAGGACCAUCAUGACCAUUUCAAUACGGGGUAGAUUCGCUAAUGUUGAUCGAAGACCAUCAUGACCAUUUCAAUAAGGGGUAGGUUCACUAAUGUUGAUCCAGGACCAUCAUGACCAUUUCAAUAAGGGGUAGAUUCGCUAAUGUUUAUCCAGGACCAACAUGACCAUUUCAAUACGGGGUAGAUUCGCUAAUGUUGAUCUAGGACCAUCAUGACCAUUUCAAUACGGGGUAGAUUCGCUAAUGUUGAUCGAAGACCAUCAUGACCAUUUCAAUACGGGGUAGAUUCGCUAAUGUUGAUCGAAGAGCAUCAUGACCAUUUCAGUAUGGGUUAGAUACACUAAUGUUGAUCCAGGACUGUCAUGACCAUUUCAAUACGGGAUAGAUUCCCUAAUGUUGAUGAAGGACCAUUGUCAUCAUUUCAAUACGGGGUAGAUUCGCUAAUGUUGAUCCAGGACUGUCAUGACCAUUUCAAUAAGGGGUAGGUUCACUAAUGUUGAUCUAGGACCAUUGUCAUCAUUUCAAUACGGGGUAGACUCGCUAAUGUUGAUCCAGGACCAUCAUGACCAUUUCAAUAAGGGGUAGAUUCGCUAAUGUUGAUACAGGACCAACAUGACCAUUUCAAUAAGGGGUAGGUUCACUAAUGUUGAUCCAGCACUGUCAUGACCAUUUCAAUGCGGGAUAGAUUCACUAAUGUUGAUCCAGGACCAUCAUGACCAUUUCAAUACGGGGUAGAUUCGCUAAUGUUGAUCGAAGCCCAUCAUGACCAUUUCAAUACGGGGUAGAUUCACUAAUGUUGAUCUAGGACCAUUGUCAUCAUUUCAAUACGGGAUAGAUUCACUAAUGUUGAUCCUGGACCAUCAUGACCAUUUCAAUACGGGGUAGAUUCGCUAAUGUUGAUACAGGACCAACAUGACCAUUUCAAUAAGGGGUAGAUUCGCUAAUGUUGAUACAGGACCAACAUGACCAUUUCAAUACGGGGUAGACUCGCUAAUGUUGAUCCAGGACCAUCAUGACCAUUUCAAUAAGGGGUAGAUUCGCUAAUGUUGAUACAGGACCAACAUGACCAUUUCAAUGCGGGAUAGAUUCACUAAUGUUGAUCCAGGACCAUCAUGACCAUUUCAAUACGGGGUAGAUUCGCUAAUGUUGAUCGAAGAGCAUCAUGACCAUUUCAAUACGGGGUAGAUUCACUAAUGUUGAUCUAGGACCAUUGUCAUCAUUUCAAUACGGGAUAGAUUCACUAAUGUUGAUCCUGGACCAUCAUGACCAUUUCAAUACGGGAUAGAUUCCCUAAUGUUGAUCCUGGACCAUCAUGACCAUUUCAAUACGGGGUAGAUUAGCUAAUGUUGAUCGAAGACCAUCAUGACCAUUUCAAUACGGGGUAGAUUCACUAAUGUUGAUCUAGGACCAUUGUCAUCAUUUCAAUACGGGAUAGAUUCACUAAUGUUGAUCCUGGACCAUCAUGACCAUUUCAAUACAGGGUAGAUUCGCUAAUGUUGAUACAGGACCAACAUGACCAUUUCAAUAAGGGGUAGGUUCACUAAUGUUGAUCCAGCACUGUCAUGACCAUUUCAAUAAGGGGUAGAUUCGCUAAUGUUGAUACAGGACCAACAUGACCAUUUCAAUACGGGGUAGACUCGCUAAUGUUGAUCCAGGACCAUCAUGACCAUUUCAAUACGGGGUAGAUUCGCUAAUGUUGAUCGAAGAGCAUCAUGACCAUUUCAAUACGGGGUAGAUUCACUAAUGUUGAUCUAGGACCAUUGACAUCAUUUCAAUACGGGAUAGAUUCACUAAUGUUGAUCCAGGACCAUCAUGACCAUUUCAAUACAGGGUAGAUUCGCUAAUGUUGAUCCAGGACCAUCAUGACCAUUUCAAUACGGGGUAGAUUAGCUAAUGUUGAUCGAAGACCAUCAUGACCAUUUCAAUAAGGGGUAGAUUCGCUAAUGUUGAUACAGGACCAACAUGACCAUUUCAAUAAGGGGUAGGUUCACUAAUGUUGAUCCAGCACUGUCAUGACCAUUUCAAUGUGGGAUAGAUUCACUAAUGUUGAUCCAGGACCAUCAUGACCAUUUCAAUACGGGGUAGAUUCACUAAUGUUGAUCUAGGACCAUUGUCAUCAUUUCAAUACGGGAUAGAUUCACUAAUGUUGAUCCUGGACCAUCAUGACCAUUUCAAUACGGGGUAGAUUCGCUAAUGUUGAUACAGGACCAACAUGACCAUUUCAAUAAGGGGUAGGUUCACUAAUGUUGAUCCAGCACUGUCAUGACCAUUUCAAUAAGGGGUAGAUUCGCUAAUGUUGAUACAGGACCAACAUGACCAUUUCAAUACGGGGUAGACUCGCUAAUGUUGAUCCAGGACCAUCAUGACCAUUUCAAUAAGGGGUAGAUUCGCUAAUGUUGAUACAGGACCAACAUGACCAUUUCAAUGCGGGAUAGAUUCACUAAUGUUGAUCCAGGACCAUCAUGACCAUUUCAAUACGGGGUAGAUUCGCUAAUGUUGAUCGAAGAGCAUCAUGACCAUUUCAAUACGGGGUAGAUUCACUAAUGUUGAUCUAGGACCAUUGUCAUCAUUUCAAUACGGGAUAGAUUCACUAAUGUUGAUCCUGGACCAUCAUGACCAUUUCAAUACGGGAUAGAUUCCCUAAUGUUGAUCCUGGACCAUCAUGACCAUUUCAAUACAGGGUAGAUUCACUAAUGUUGAUCCAGGACCAUCAUGACCAUUUCAAUACGGGGUAGAUUAGCUAAUGUUGAUCGAAGAGCAUCAUGACCAUUUCAAUACGGGGUAGAUUCGCUAAUGUUGAUCCAGGACCAUCAUGACCAUUUCAAUACGGGGUAGAUUCACUAAUGUUGAUCUAGGACCAUUGUCGUCAUUUCAAUACGGGGUAGAUUAGCUAAUGUUGAUCGAAGACCAUCAUGACCAUUUCAGUACAGGUUAGAUUCCCUAAUGUUGAUCCAGGACUAUCGUCAUCAUUUCAAGGAGUAGAUUCGCUAAUGUUGAUCCAGGACCAUUGUCAUCAUUUCAA